rnacentral:rRNA from 1 species
AGCGGCAGGCUUAACACAUGCAAGUCGAGGGGUAACAGGGAGUGCUUGCACUCUGCUGACGACCGGCGCACGGGUGCGUAACGCGUAUGCAACCUACCUUUAACAGGAAGAUAGCCCCGAGAAAUCGGGAUUAAUACUCCAUAGUAUCAUAAUGUCGCAUGGCAUAAUGAUUAAAGUUUCGGCGGUUUAAAGAUGGGCAUGCGUUCCAUUAGCUAGAUGGUAGGGUAACGGCCUACCAUGGCGACGAUGGGUAGGGGGCGUGAGAGCGUGAUCCCCCACACGGGUACUGAGACACGGACCCGACUCCUACGGGAGGCAGCAGUAAGGAAUAUUGGUCAAUGGGCGAAAGCCUGAACCAGCCAUGCCGCGUGUGUGAUGAAUGCCCUUUGGGUUGUAAAGCACUUUUGUCUGGGAAGAAUGGCCGCCAUUUAUGGUGGAAGCGACGGUACCAGAAGAAUAAGCACCGGCUAACUCCGUG